GCCCGAAUGGUGGAAUGGUAGAAACGAGGGACUUAAAAUCCCUUGUCCAUUAUGCUGUGUGGUUUCGAGUCCCAAUUCGGGUA
rnacentral:tRNA from 1 species